rnacentral:rRNA from 1 species
AGGAUGAACGCUGGCGGCAUGCCUAACACAUGCAAGUCGAACGAUCCCUUCGGGGAUAGUGGCGAACGGGUGAGUAACACGUUGGUACCUACCCAGAGUGGGGAUAACCAGAGGAAACUCUGGCUAAUACCCCAUAGUCUCCGCUUCGUGCGGAGUAAAGGUUUACUGCUCUGGGAGGGGCCUGCGGUCCAUUAGCUUU